UCAUGAAAGCUCAGGUGGUAGAGCAUGGGACAUUUGAUCUUAUGGUUGUGGGUUCGAGUCCCACAUUGGGUGAA